CCUACGGGAGGCAGCAGUGGGGAAUUUUGGACAAUGGGGGCAACCCUGAUCCAGCCAUGCCGCGUGAGUGAAGAAGGCCUUCGGGUUGUAAAGCUCUUUCGGCCGGAACGAAAUCGCGCACGUGAAUAACGUGCGUGGAUGACGGUACCGGAGUAAGAAGCACCGGCUAACUACGUGCCAGCAGCCGCGGUAAUACGUAGGGUGCGAGCGUUAAUCGGAAUUACUGGGCGUAAAGCGUGCGCAGGCGGUUCGCUAAGUCAGACGUGAAAGCCCCGGGCUUAACCUGGGAACGGCGUUUGAAACUGGCGGGCUCGAGUACGGCAGAGGGGGGUGGAAUUCCACGUGUAGCAGUGAAAUGCGUAGAUAUGUGGAGGAACACCGAUGGCGAAGGCAGCCCCCUGGGCCGAUACUGACGCUCAUGCACGAAAGCGUGGGGAGCAAACAGGAUUAGAUACCCUGGUAGUCCACGCCCUAAACUAUGUCAACUAGUUGUCGGGGAAGCAAUUCCUUGGUAACGCAGCUAACGCGUGAAGUUGACCGCCUGGGGAGUCGGUCGCAAGAUUAAAACUCAAAUGAAUUGAGCGUGAGAGNGCGACGCGACGACGAGGGAGAGG
rnacentral:rRNA from 1 species